GGGAUGUAUGCACAGAUACACAUAUGCAGCCACACACAAAGUGACACAAUUACACACAUGAUCCACACUGACACACACAGAUACACACAAUCUUACAAACAUAUACCUUCAAAGACACAGAGACACACACAUACAAGUCACAGUUUAUAUAUAUUUAGCCGCCACUCUGCUUCCAUACCUUUGGAGUGCAGGAUGGUGGCUUCCCUGGGCAGGCCAAGGCUGAUGGGAGUCUGAGGCUGUCCAGGCUGUCUGCAGUGCUCUCCAUUGUACCCUCUCUGUGCCUUCUAUGUCCUCCUAGCAAAUGUAGUCUGUAAGCUGUGAUGAAGUGAUAGGAAGUCGCUUC